AAAGCAUUAAAAUGACAUGUAUCAAUUCGAUGGCUGAUUUGAAACCUUUCAAAACCAUAUGGAAGAUAAAUGUCUAAAUAAUUCAACAGUGGAAACAGUACUGUUCACUUUUUUUCAAAAAUGUGUUCGGUGGAAAAAACUAAGGUUUUGUGUCAUAAUUUAUUUAGUGUCCAAUCCAAUCAAUCCAUGGUAUAUUAAUUAUAGUUUAGUUCCACAAUUUUUAAUAAAAAUUGAUCCAGUCCAUCGGAAAGGAAAUAUAUAAUAACAACAAAAAAUAUUGUAUAUGUUUAAAUAAAAUGAUCAAAUAUAUGUUUGACAAAAAAAAAAGAUCAAAUAUAAAAAAAAAAAAUCAUCGAUAAUAUAUUCAAAUAAACUCAUCCUGCACAAAGCGCAAGUCUUAUCCUAGUUAUAUAUUAUUAUAUAACCGUAACACAACGUAUAAUGAUAUAUAUUAUAUACCAUUACUUAAUGUAUAUAGCAUAUAUGCAUAUAAUCAUGAGAUUAAAGACAUUUAUGAAUAUAAGGUAAAGUAGGAGGGUUAUCAAUACACCCAGAUUCUAACUCUUU
rnacentral:lncRNA from 1 species